UACUCUGCCAAUUUGGUGUGGUGUGUUCGCCCAGACUUACUCCACCAUGUGGAAGGUUUCCUUUAAGAUUACGCUGACGUCAGACCCACGGUUGCCUUAUAAAGUAGUUAGUGUUCCUGAGAGUACACCUUUUACAGCAGUCUUAAAAUUUGCAGCAGAAGAAUUUAAAGUUCCUGCAGCAACAGUGCAGUUAUUACUAAUGAUGGAAUAGGAAUAAAUCCUGCACAGACUGCUGGAAAUGUUUUUCUU
rnacentral:lncRNA from 1 species